rnacentral:rRNA from 1 species
GACGAACGCUGGCGGCGUGCCUAAUACAUGCAAGUCGAGCGAAGAGUUGAGGGGCCUGGCACUCGGACAACAUAGCGGCAAACGUGAGUAACACGUGGAAAAACCAUCUAUCAUAGAGGGAGACAACCAGGAAACACGAGAGCUAACCCGAGAUAAUAUUAUUUCUCGCGGGUGAAAUAUGUAAGAGGGUGUUACGCUAACACUAUGAUAUAGCUGCGCCGCAUUAGCUAUUUGGUAAGGUAACGGCUUACCAAGGCAACGAUGCGUAGCCGACCUGAGAGGGUGAUCGGCCACACUGGAACUGAGACACGGCCCAGACUCCUACGGGAGGCAGCAGUAGGGAAUCUUCCGCAAUGGGCGAAAGCCUGACGGAGCAACGCCGCGUGAGUGAUGAAGGUUUUCGGAUCGUAAAACUCUGUUAUUAGGGAAGAACAAAUGUGUAAGUAACUAUGCACUUCUUGACGGUACCUAAUCAGAAAGCCACGGCUAACUACGUG